rnacentral:rRNA from 1 species
GACAGAGGCCCCAAGCGUUAGGCGGAAUCACUGGGCUUAAAGCGUGUGUAGGCGGACGCCUAAGUGUCUUGUGAAAUCCCACGGCUCACCCGUGGAGCUGCUGGGCAUACUGGGCGUCUUGGGCCAACUAGGGGCAGCCGGAACAAGCGGUGGAGCGGUGAAAUGCGUAGAUAUCGCUUGGAACGCCGAAGGUGAAAACAGGCUGCUGGGGUUGUGCCGACGCUGAGACACGAAAGCCAGGGGAGCAAACGGG